GUUAUGAACUCCCAUUUUUACCACAUUUACAGAUUGCAGAUUCACAUUGGUUACACAUCCACGUUUAUACAUACUGCCAUACUAGUGUCUGUUGUAUUUUGCUGCCUUUCCUAUCCCCUUCCUUAGAGUGGAGUUGAAGUUCUCUACUAUCUGACCUCAACUACAGUCAUCCCUCCAUAUCCAUGAGGGGAUGUAACCACAGAACCUUUAACGUCAGACAUCGAAAUCCUUGGAUGCUCAAAUCUCACAUGCAAAAUUAUGUAGUAUUUGCAUAAAAUCUCUGCACAACUUUCCACAUAAAUUAAAUGAUCUCUAGAUUACUUAUAAUAC
rnacentral:lncRNA from 1 species